GUGGGGAAUAUUGGACAAUGGGCGCAAGCCUGAUCCAGCAAUGCCGCGUGUGUGAAGAAGGCCUGCGGGUUGUAAAGCACUUUUGUUCGGGAAGAAAUCAUGCUGGUUAAUACCUGGUAUGGAUGACGGUACCGAAAGAAUAAGCACCGGCUAACUUCGUGCCAGCAGCCGCGGUAAUACGAAGGGUGCAAGCGUUAAUCGGAAUUACUGGGCGUAAAGGGUGCGUAGGCGGCCUUUUAAGUCGGAUGUGAAAUCCCCGGGCUCAACCUGGGAAUGGCAUUCGAUACUGGGAGGCUAGAGUUUGGGAGAGGGUGGUGGAAUUCCCGGUGUAGCGGUGAAAUGCGUAGAGAUCGGGAGGAACAUCAGUGGCGAAGGCGGCCACCUGGCCUAAAACUGACGCUGAGGCACGAAAGCGUGGGGAGCAAACAGGAUUAGAAACCCCUGUAGUCC
rnacentral:rRNA from 1 species